rnacentral:rRNA from 1 species
GACGGAGGAUGCAAGUGUUAUCCGGAAUCACUGGGCGUAAAGCGUCUGUAGGUGGUCAAAUAAGUCAACUGUUAAAUCUUGAGGCUUAACCUCAAAAAUCGCAGUCGAAACUAUUAGACUAGAGUAUAGUAGGGGUAAAGGGAAUUUCCAGUGGAGCGGUGAAAUGCGUAGAGAUUGGAAAGAACACCGAUGGCGAAGGCACUUUACUGGGCUAUUACUAACACUCAGAGACGAAAGCUAGGGUAGCAAAUAGGG